rnacentral:tRNA from 1 species
GCGGAUGUAGCCAAGUGGAUCAAGGCAGUGGAUUGUGAAUCCACCAUG